GGAAGUAGGUAUUUUCUUUGUAUUUUCUUUUUUUCUCCCUUCACUCUUGCCUUAGAGGAGUAGAGAGAGGGUAUUCUGGUCAGCCUUCCUUUUUCCCUUUGGGGAUGUGUGUGACACACUCCCUCCCCUCCCACCAACAACCCACCCUCCCCAAGUGGGGACCCUUUGCCACGGGAGAUGGUCACCCAUGUCCAAAGAUUGGCCAACCCCCCAAAAGCGGU
rnacentral:lncRNA from 1 species